UGUAGAACAUUGCUCUAAAUUUAUAAAUUGCUAUGGAACUAAUGCUGAGCUUUUGGUUUCCUUGAGUGCCAGGCAAUAAUCUGGAAGAAUAAUAAAGAAACAUACAUAGAGCAAGGCAAAGCACAGUACUCGGCAUUUUAUACGCAUUACAUUACUGAUUCCUCAAAGUCACCCUCUGAAGUUGAUGCUGUGAAGAUCCCAUUUUACAGAUAAGAAAACCGAGGCCCCAAAAGGGUUAAAAGCCCAGCACUUUUACGUAGUGGAGACCAAGGCUCAAGGAGGCAAAACGGACCAGCCCAAAGUCUCACAGCUGGUCAGUGUUGGAGCUGACACUUGCAUCCAGGGUGUCUGACCCAGGACCCCUUGUUUCCUCUGCAACUCCCUACCCACACUGUGA